rnacentral:lncRNA from 10 species
CCAGGCUGGAUUGCAGUGGCACGAUCUCAGCUCACUGCAGCAUCUGCCUCCCAGGUCCAAGCGAUUCUCCUGCCUCAGCCUCCCGAGUAGCUGGGAUUACAGGCACAUACCACCAUGCCUGGCUAAUUUUUAUAUUUUUAGUGGAGAUAGAGUUUCACCAUGUUGGCCAGGCUGGUCUCAAACUCCUGACCUCAAGUGAUCCACCUACCUCAGCCUCCCAAAGUGCUGGGAUUACAGGCAUGAGCCACCAUGCCUGGCUAACAAUCCAAUUUUU